GACGAACGCUGGCGGCGUGCUUAACACAUGCAAGUCGAACGGAAAGGCCCUGCUUUUGUGGUGUGCUCGAGUGGCGAACGGGUGAGUAACACGUGAGUAACCUGCCCUUGACUUUGGUAUAACUUCAGGAAACUGGGGCUAAUACCGGAUAGGAGCUCCUGCUGCAUUGUGGGUGUUGGAAAGUUUCGGCGGUUGGGGAUGGACUCGCGGCUUAUCAGCUUGUUGGUGGGGUAGUGGCUUACCAAGGCUUUGACGGGUAGCCGGCCUGAGAGGGUGACCGGCCACAUUGGGACUGAGAUACGGCCCAGACUCUUACGGGAGGCAGAAGUGGGGAAUAUUGCACAAUGGGCGGAAGCCUGAUGCAGCAACGCCGCGUGCGGGAUGACGGCCUUCGGGUUGUAAACCGCUUUCGCCUGUGACGAAGCGUGAGUGACGGUAAUGGGUAAAGAAGCACCGGCUAACUACGUG
rnacentral:rRNA from 1 species